AUAACGAUUUUUAUCAGCUGUAGCAAAAAAAGAAACUUCAUAGAAGUCAAAAUAGGAAAAAAGAAAAAUGCCUAGCAACUUUUUUCUAUGGAAAUAAGGCUUUAAUUGAUAGAGAUAGAGGAAGCACCGUAAAGAUCAAUUAGCGAGGUUUUGGGCCGAUACAAUAAUAACUGCGUACUUAUGUCAUGAUGGAAGAGAUAGAGGAAACACCGUAAAGAUCAAUUAGCGAGAUUUUAGGCCGGUACAAUAAUAACUGCGUACUUAUGUCAUGAUGGAAUAAAUACUUAUCUCAUGAUGUGAAAUAAAAAUUAGGAAUUAACUUAUGUAAUAGAGUCGAUCCACUAAAGUCUUGAGCAGCGGUGUAGGAUCAGAUCCCAAAGAUAGUAAGUAUUUUCUUUU
rnacentral:lncRNA from 1 species